GUUGUGGUGGCUCAGUGGUUAACGCUUUAAGUUACUGAUGAGAAGGUCUGGGUUCAAAUCCAAGCACAGCC